UACAGAGGGCGCGAGCGUUGUCCGGAAUCAUUGGGUUUAAAGGGUCCGCAGGCGGAUUUAUAAGUCAGUGGUGAAAGCCCGUCGCUCAACGACGGAACUGCCAUUGAUACUGUAAGUCUUGAAUUCGGUCGAAGUGGGCGGAAUAUGACAUGUAGCGGUGAAAUGCUUAGAUAUGUCAUAGAACACCGAUAGCGAAGGCAGCUCACUAGGCCUGGAUUGACGCUCAGGGACGAAAGCGUGGGGAGCAAACAGG
rnacentral:rRNA from 1 species